GUUGUUCAGUGAUCCGGGAGGUGGAAGGCUAUUGGUUCAGGGAGCCCGUCAGACCGGACUGGAGUGAGCCAUGAUUGGUCGACACAGGCGCAAUCAGAGUCAAGAAAACUUUGCUUUUGACUUAUUUACAGCUAGUCACAAUUGAGUGAAGUAUACUCCUGUAAACAAAUUUGGAUUUCUCUCUCUCAAUCUGAUUUCUCCAGAAUGUGGAAACUAUUUAAACAGACUGCAGAUUGAAUUCCUACAUAGGCUAUUCCAGAAUUCUUACGAGACUUGCAUUAGGACAUCAGCAACAGGUAUCAUCUAGUGAACUGUUCAGAUGCAACUGAAUUGAAAAGGAGCUGAACAAAAGAUCCUGAGAGAGACUUCAACAAAAAGUAAAAUGGAUUUUAUCAUACUUGAAAAAUCAACAAUUGCAGUCUGGAUUCAUACAUCACUGUCUGAUGCACCCAACUUGAGUCAAAAAGAUGUUUCAAAUCCCACUAGGCUGGAGGCAAAAAUACUCAAGAGUUUAAGAGCGUCUCUUGACAGUGUACAGAAUAAGAUAGCUUCUCAGCUUUCAGCUUUACUUCACGGUUUUAACUAUCAAAAGAAGCAAGCCAUCUGAAGAUUUGCCUGAGACUGAAGGAUCCACUUCUGCGACGACUCCCUCAGGACUUAUAAUGCAGAUGGAACCAGAUUGAGAAAAACCAGCCAACCAACCAACCAACAUGAUGGCUGAACCAGACAAGAGAAGUCCCGAAGUAAAAUACCCACCAAUUACCAGAAUCUGUGCCUGCCAUACAUCGAAGGUAUUGUAUCCAUGAUGGCAUGCUGCUUUUUGUGGUGUUUUGAUUGAUGUCACAAUUUCCCAGCAGUCCUUCCACAGCCAUUCUGAGAUAGCAUCCAGAAAUCAAUGAAACAUCAGAAUAGGAAGUAUUUGUGUAUGUAGACUAAUGUGGCACAUUCCAUCUUGGAAGAUGUAAUCCUUAAAGGAAGGAAGAAAGAAUCUUGGUAGCAGUAUAUGCUGGGAAUAUACUCAGCCAUUUCCCAUGUAUUUUCUAGAUUUAGGGAAUCAGAAAUCAAGAGAGGAAUGUGGGAGGUGCUGGCACCUUAGUGGAGGGAAGUUGUCUCAAGUAAACAGCUACACAGAAAUGAGGAAUUGGGCUUUUUAGCCAUGAGUUACGGCUGUCAGUCCAAAUUGUCUAAAAUCAGAAAAAUAUAUUAAAAAGUAUCAACUCCCACUGAGCCUAUGCUUUGCAAAAGUAUAUUUUAUUUUCAUCUCUUUUGAUUCCUGAAAUAAUCCUAAACUAGAUAUGGUGGAUGUUGUCCUACAAAUGAGGAUGCUAAGGCCCGAGGGGGUUAAUGUCUUGCUUAGUUUGUAAGAAAAGAAUGGAAAUCAUAUGUUCUUACUAAAGGCCAGUUAUCUUUCCAUGAUGUUUUAAACUGACAGACCAAUAACAACAAAGGUGAACAAAGGGUUAAACUCAAACCCACCAGAAAUAUUUGGAGUCCAAAACAGAGUGAAUGGUGGUGGAUGCUAUCUUGUAAUUAUAAUCUGUAUGUCAAAAUAAGACAAUCCUGUUGAAAGAAUUAACUCGAAAGUGGAAAGCAUGGGCAAAAUGAGGAAGUUGUAAAAGAUAGUGCUGUACAAUAGCUUUUGUUGUUGUUGUCACUAGUAGUGGCAUUCCUUGUUUUUUAACUUUUCAAAAUAUAUGGGUAACAU
ensembl:lncRNA novel transcript